UCGGGGCUCUGUCUCCUGCAAAAACCACAGAAUGGGUGCCAAGCAGUAUUAUAUACAAGACCCUUUUCAAACCCAAGGUCUGAGCAGAAACAUAGCAACAGACUGUUACAGCACCCAAGUGGGAUUCUGACUUGCACAGAUUUUGUUUAGAGAAACACUGCUAAUUUCCACACUGAGGAGGCAGAGGCAAAGAGAACUCUAUGAGUUCAAGGUCAGCCUGGUUUACAGAGAGUGUAAGCCAGCCAGGAAUACAUAGUGAGACCCUGUCAUGUCAAAACAAAACAAAACACCUUCUCAAACCUAAGGAAACGAGAUCCUGGGAGAAAAAAGGUAAAGCCACCAGUGGCUCUUCUCUGUGUAAGACUCCUGGGGCAGGGACUCUGGGAACACGACAGGCCGCCUCCUGCCAAGAUGUUUAUGUUGCUUUGCAGUUAUCCCUGCCCCCAGGAGAAAAGGGAAGACCAAGUGAAUGUCUGCAACAGGUGUGGGUGUCUGCAGAGACCAGAAGAGAGAAUCAGAAUCCCUGGAGCCGGAGUUACUGAGGUUGGCCGGGAUCACAGGUACAGAGAACUAUGGCGAGUUGAGAUGUCAACUUAAAGAUCAAGCUGCAACUGGAAAGGCCAGGCCCAGUGAUUCACACUAAUGCCUGUAAUCCCAGCACUCGGGAAGCUAAGGAUUUGUAAUACAGAAUGAAAGAAUGGAGGAAAGAAUCAGCAGAUGGCAGUACGACAGGCGGUGUGUCCUGACCAGAAAAGAAAACAGCAGUAACAAGGCUGCACACAGGUGGCAAAGCACAAGAGAGGACCCAGGAAUAAAGAAGGAUUUCCACCUAAGUGAAAAGCAACAUGGGACUGAAAGGAAAAGUAGGGAACAGGAACCCUGAAGGUUAAGGCUGCAAAGUCAUCCCUACAAAGCACUGCGUGCGUCUCCUGUGACUGUGGGGUCCUGUUGACGACAUAAGAACAAGAUGCAGGGCAAGGAUGGAGCUCAGUGGGGAAGAUGCCUCCUUAGCAGGUAUGAGUUCUUGGGUUUGACACUCAACACCAGGUCACCUUUAUCCCAGUCCAGGAGGUUCAAGUCAGUCUCUGUUACAUGAUGAGUUCAAGGCCAACCUGGGACCCUAUCUUUGAGGAAAGGGGGGGGGGAAGCAAAGUUCGAAAUUUGAAGCACUAGAAAAUUAUAGAGGUUAUCUUUUAAAAAAUUAUAUAUACGGGCUGGA
rnacentral:sRNA from 1 species